rnacentral:misc_RNA from 1 species
CAAGGAAGAGUCAGAGAGCAUACCAAAACCACUCAUUCGCAACAAAAGGCUCGAAAAAGGUCCAUCAAAGGCGGCUCAGAUCCCGCGCUGCUCGACCACGGCCCCGACCAGAAGCCGGCACGGACCCCGCCGCCACGGUCCCCAACCCCAGCCCCUACCGCCGCAGAACCGUCGCCCGCCACAGGGUCCGCAAUCCGGCGCGGCGCAGCGGGGCGGGGACCAGAGUGGCCCCGGGGAGGCGCGGAUCCGGCAACGAGCGCCGGUCGGAAACCGGCCCGGCGCCAAGCUGCGGUGCCCUUCUUCAUCGCCGCUUUUGUUCCAAGGGCUGUUGGUUUCAAUGGUGUGGUCACCGGCCGCCGCGAGUGGGAUCAGGCAGCAGGUUUAGAGCGCCUCGCAUGUGCCGCCGCCGCUGCCCACCCGGCCACACGCGGUGGCCUCACACUUAAACUAACGAUUGAGCGGUGGUUUGGUCGGAGACGGCGAGGUUUUAUGCGAGGUUCAGAUUUGGGAGGAGGAUGGGCGGAGAAGUUUGGAAUUAUGCCACUAUGA